rnacentral:rRNA from 1 species
GACAGAGGGUGCAAACGUUGCUCGGAAUCACUGGGCGUAAAGGGCGUGUAGGCGGGAAGGAAAGUCAGAUGUGAAAUCCCUGGGCUCAACCCAGGAACUGCAUUUGAAACUCCCUUUCUUGAGUACCGGAGAGGAAGGUGGAAUACCUGGCGUAGAGGUGAAAUUCGUAGAUAUCAGGUGGAACACCAGUGGCGAAGGCGGCCUUCUGGACGGUAACUGACGCUGAGACGCGAAAGCGUGGGGAGCAAACAGG